rnacentral:piRNA from 1 species
UGACGUUGUUGAUGUUGUCAGGCCCC